rnacentral:rRNA from 1 species
CCCGCUGAACUUAAGCAUAUCAAUAAGCGGAGGAAAAGAAACUAACAAGGAUUCCCUUAGUAACUGCGAGUGAAGAGGGAAAAGCUCAAAUUUAAAAUCUGGCGGUCAUUGGCCGUCCGAGUUGUAAUCUAGAGAAGUGUUACCCGUGCUGGACCAUGUACAAGUCUCCUGGAAUGGAGCAUCACAGAGGGUGAGAAUCCCGUCUUUGACAUGGACUACCAGUGCUUUUGUGGUAUGCUCUCAAAGAGUCGAGUUGUUUGGGAAUGCAGCUCAAAAUGGGUGGUAAAUGCCAUCUAAAGCUAAAUAUUGGCGAGAGACCGAUAGCGAACAAGUACCGUGAGGGAAAGAUGAAAAGAACUUUGGAAAGAGAGUUAAACAGUACGUGAAAUUGCUGAAAGGGAAACGCUUGAAGUCAGUCGCGUUGACUUGGAAUCAACCCUGCUUUUGCUGGGUGUAUUUUCUUGUCGAUGGGUCAGCAUCAAUUUUGACCGUUGGAUAAAGUUGUUGGGAAUGUGGCAUCCUUGGAUGUGUUAUAGCCUGAUGAUGCAUACGGCGGUUGGGAUUGAGGAAUUCAGCAUGCUGCAAGGCCGGGUUUUAUUUGACCACGUUCAUGCUUAGGGUGCUGGCAUAAUGGCUUUAAUCGACCCGUCUUGAAACACGG